CCGUCUUGUGUUAUUCUAUAGUCUUUGGUUGUACGCUGUCCGCCAUUUUCUCCGCGCUCGAGCAGCUGUAGUAACAACAAUGUCUGGACCUCUGCAGGCACAAAAGUAUGUGUUGUUCUCCUUCUUUGUGAAGGCUCUCCCCUCGUCUGCAGACAGAUAGAGGGAGACAGAAGAUGGUGGUUAUCACUGGAGUCAUGGGCCCUGAUCAGAGGCAGGGUGCUGGGUCUUAUCUUAAUGAAGCUGUGCUUAUCAUGAGCUCGAGGUCACUGCUAUCUGUCUGACCUCUGACUGCACCCUCUUUCUGUCAAUUAACCCACUCACAAAAGUCUAUCUACCCUUUUACACUUACUUACAUACAGUUUCAAUAAAAAGUUACUGUUCAGCUAUUUUGAUUAAAAAAUGAAAA